UUGGGACCGGAAGGCUCGAGGGGUACGUCCGGGGUAGGAGUGAAAUCCUGUAAUCCUGGACGGACCGCCGAUGGCGAAAGCACCUCGAGAAGACGGAUCCGACAGUGAGGGACGAAAGCUAGGGUCUCGAACCGGAUUAGAUACCCGGGUAGUCCUAGCCGUAAACAAUGUUCACUAGGUGUGGCACAGGCUACGAGCCUGUGCUGUGCCGUAGGGAAGCCGAGAAGUGAACCGCCUGGGAAGUACGUCCGCAAGGAUGAAACUUAAAGGAAUUGGCGGGGGAGCACUACAACCGGAGGAGCCUGCGGUUUAAUUGGACUCAACGCCGGACAUCUCACCAGCUCCGACUACAGUAAUGACGGUCAGGUUGAUGACCUCGCCACGAGCUGUAGAGAGGAGGUGCAUGGCCGCCGUCAGCUCGUACCGUGAGGCGUCCUGUUAAGUCAGGCAACGAGCGAGACCCACGCACCUAAUUGCCAGCAGCAGUUCCGACUGGCUGGGUACAUUAGGUGGACUGCCAGUGCCAAACUGGAGGAAGGAAUGGGCAACGGUAGGUCAGUAUGCCCCGAAUGAGCUGGGCUACACGCGGGCUACAAUGGCCGAGACAAUGGGUUGCCACCUCGAAAGAGGGCGCUAAUCUCCGAAACUCGGUCGUAGUUCGG
rnacentral:rRNA from 1 species